ensembl:lncRNA
CUUCUGUGUUGUGCCAUCCGCUUCACCAGAGGUUGUUCCCAAUGGAGCAAGGAACUGACCUCCCAGCCCAUUGUUCAUUCAGUGGUGCUAAUUUCAGUUGCUGUGUAAAUGUACUGUUUAUAAGGUUGGGGAACAACUUCAGUCAGCUGAGACUGAAGAAGUAGUGAUGGGAAUUCCGGCUCCUUUUAAAGAACCGGUUCUUUCGGCUUGGCUCAAUAAAAAGACCCGGCUCUUUCGGCUCCCAGACGGCUCUUCAGCUGAUUCCCAAAGUGCAGAGGAGAUCACAAAGAGCCUGGCAGAGAUGAUUGUGAAAGACCUGCAACUUCUUUCCAUAGUGGAGGAUGAUGGCUUCAGGAAGUUUGUGAAGACACUUGACCACUGCUCCAAAAUUUAAUGGAGGGGAAACUACCAGCACUUUAUGAAGACUGUUGUCCUAAGGUUAGAAAGGCACUGAGUGGUGCGGACAAUGUUGUGCUCACCAGUGACAUGUAGACAUCAGGAGCCACACAGGCAUAUUUAACAGUCUCAUGCUACAUGAUUGAUGAAAACUGUCAAAUGGUGGCAUAAGUGCUAGAAACACGUAUGUUCCUGGACAACAACCUGCAGACAAUAUUUGUGCACAAUUAGUUAGACACAGAGGAAUGGGGCAUAACGGACAAGAUUCUGGCUGUUGUAACAGAUAAUGGUGCAAACAUGGUUGCUGCUGUGUGCAAAGCAGGAUGGCCACACUAUUCAUGUUUUGCACACAUUUUAAAUUUGGUGGUAAAAGACUCCAUUAAAGCCCUGCCUGACUUGCUUGAGCUUCAGCAGAAAAGCAGUGCUAUUGUUGCUUUCUUUCACCACAGCACUAAAGCUGCAGACAAGCUCAAAGACAUCCAGAAGCAGCAGAAGUUUCCUGAACAAAAACUAAUUGAAGCAGUUGAGACAAGGUGGAACUCUACAUUCUACAAUUCUCAGGGUUUUUUGCUUCCAAGUCCCUAAAAUGGAGCUUUGCAGAGUAAGAAUAAAUAUUAAACUGGC